AUUUCCUAAGCAUUGUUUGGGAUUGGAAAGAAACUGUCUUCCUUCCUACCAAGUUAAUCACAGAUAUUCAAUUCUUCUAUGUGUUUCAUGUCUACACAAGUUUCCUUAUGUAUCUUGCACAUCAGCUAAGACAUAGUGCCUGCCAAAUGAUGUAUUUUAAGUACUUACUGAAUUAACAAUGAAAAGAUGCUAAAUAAAUUAGCAAUCAAAAGCCAUAUAAGUUACUCAAAAACAUCCGAGAGUCUCCACUCUUACCAUAAUUGACAUUUUUUAUUUACUGACAAUUUAGUAAAGUGGUGUGUUUUCUUUAUAAUGCAAUGCUUAGGUUUGUCAUAACUUUUACAUCCAAAAGCAAGUGACAUUUAAUUUGAUAACUGCAGUCACCAUUCCUAGUAAUUUUGAAGCUCAAGAAAAUUAAGCUUGUCACUGUUUCCACAUGUUUACCCCUUCUAUUUUGCAAGUAGUGAUUGGACCAGAUGCCCUUAUCUUUGUUUUUAUGAAUGUAGAGUUUUCAGCACGGUUUUUCACUCUAAUCAUUCACCCUCAUGAAAAGGCUCUUUAUUUCCUCUUCACUUUCUCUUUGUUUUUGCGUUAACAUCUAUAUAUGUGAGUGUUUUGCUGUUUCUCCCAGCCACUUUGAUGCCAGCUUUUGAUUCACUCAACUGGUAUUUAAAUAGUAUAUUCUGCAUAUGAUUCACGUAAGCAAGUGACAGUAAAGAGAUUUGUCACUCUUCUUUCACUUUUGAAGUGGUCAAUUUGUCCAUGCCCGAUCCAAUUCUUGCGUCUUGACUCAUUUAAGGGUGAUUCCAACUUUUAUUUCCUCAAGAUUUUCCAUGUACCCCAACCCUUUUAGUUUUGGUGUUCUCCAUCUAGACACCUACAUUUCUCAUUGUGGGGCAUCUAUCAUUGCUACAUCAGACCUUUUCCUGGUUUCCUUCUUUCUUUCAUUUUUUUUCCCCGCACCACACUCUGUUUCAUUUAUAUCCUCCUUUCUCAGUUAAGUUCAGUUGGUCCUUCAUCACCGACUCUUUGCAACCCCAUGAAUCGCA
rnacentral:sRNA from 1 species